UCUACAAUGGAGCUACGGUUGAAAAGAUAUGACCAACACAAGAUGAUAUGGCCUGAAUGCAAAAUGCCUGCAAAUGAGAGCUACAAGCAUGUUAAAACAUGGAUGAAAAAGAUAUUAUGGAACUACAUGACAUUCUAGGCAAGUUUAAAUGAGGUCGGAACAACGAAUAACAAUUUCGAAAAGUCCCCAUAUGCAAAUCAAGAUUUCGGUACUGUUCUGCCUAUAACACAAAUUUAGAGUUGUUAAACAACAAAAUAAAUGCCACCAUGUUAUUCUACACAUU
rnacentral:lncRNA from 1 species